UUAGUUAGCGUGCACAUCAAACCCACAGCCAGACGGAAUUCUCACUGCACAGACGCAAGACCAUGAAGCUUCUCCUGUUAGUGUGUCUCCUGACCUACAGCUCCACAGGCACAGCUCAGACCGGCCCAAGCAGAAUUACCACAUCCACAACUACUACAGAAGCUGCAGCAACACCACCAACAACACCUGCACCAACAACACCACCAACACCAACAACUGCACCCACAAGUGAAAGAAGAGCUACAAAGGCACCCGAAACUGCAAGAACUACUAAAGGUUCAUCUGGAGGAACAACUCAAGGUUCAAGCAGCAAGGAAGAGCCGCCGCUCAUCACUGCUGACACAGCUGUUCUAUGGAAAGUCCUGAUCAUAGCAGUGAGCUGUCUGGUUGUUGUGGCGCUGGCUCUGUUCUCAUGGAGAAGGUUCUACAAAAGGAAAGCGCAUCUUGUUACAAGGUCAGGAGAAUUUCUAUUACUCUAUUGAAGACAACACACCAACCACACGACCUG